ensembl:lncRNA
UGGUGUUAUAUCAACUCUGCUGAUUCUGUCCCCGUCUCCCUCUUCCUCUGACGCUGAUGUAACACACACUCAUGCGACGCUGAUAUCUGUCUGUCAUCAGCGCUAAUGCGGUCUGAGAAUGAACUCACAACCUGACAGAUAUUAUAGCAAAAAAUCAACGUUUGCUCACGUCGCUGCAAACUCAUAUUUCUCAUAUAAAUUGAAGGGAACACAAUUUGUUACAAAAUGAUGUUUAGAUAUUUUUAUUGGACCACAAGGCAAAAAUACAGAGGAAGACUAAAUGCAACUACUUUCUGCUCUGAUUUAAGGCCUUAGUUUGUGGAAGAGUGUAUAAAGACUUUAUAAGACCUGCAGAAACCCUUAAAGGUUCUUUGUAGUGGAAAAAGUUUCUUCAAAAAUAAAUAAAAGUCUCUUCUGCUCACCAAGGCUGCAUUUAUUUGUAAAAAAAGAAAAAAAGAAAAUACAGUAAAAAUUGUGAAAUAUUAUUCUAAUGUAAAAAAGCCAUUCUCUAUGUGAAUCUCUGUUAAACUGUAAUUUAUUUCUGUGAUCAAAUCUGAAUUUUCAGCAUCAUUACUCCAGUCUUCUGUGUCACAUGACCCUUAUGCAUAUGAUGCUUUGUGUGAGAAACUAAUUCAAAUGUAAAUGAUUGUCAUGCACUGCAGUGUCCAAAUCAAACAUAGUGCUACAUAUUCUUAAAAAUAAAGGUUCUUUCUUGGAACUGAACCUUUUUGUGCUUUUCAAUGCACAUUAUAAUAAAGGGUCCUUUAAAAAGAAAUAAGAUGAUUCUUUGAAGAACUGUUCACUGAAAGGUUCUUCACGAAGCCAAAAAUGGUUCUUUUGGAAGCUUUAUUUAUAAGAGAAUAUCUGAUGCAUCUGACAGCUUCAAGACUGAUUUAAAAUGUGAUUUUCAGCCCGUUCCUCACAUUUGACUUCAGAAGACGUGGAAUAACAGUCGACUUGUGCUUGACGGAUGUUAGUAAGAUCUUCCACUGUGUGCAAGCGAAAGAACACUCUUCAAAACAUCUUCUUCAUGUUUCACAGAAGAAAGAAGGGUUUGAAGGACACGAGGGCGAGUGAAGGACGUCAGGAUUGUAAUGUUUGUGUGAAAGGAUUCAAGCGUGAGCAGCGGUCUGUGGAUGCAGGCGCUGCUGCUGUACAGAUGGAGCUGCUCUGAUUUGUUCUGCUUCUCAUGGCUUCUGUGUCGUCUUUGUCUCCAGCGCAGAGGAACACAAAGAAGGAGGGUCCGGGUGGCCGUUUGGAACAGCUGAGGGUGUGUGUGUGUGUGUGUGUGUGUGUGUGUGUGUGAGCUCCCUUUGUGUGCGUCUGCCUUUGUUUGGGACGUACCACUCGGUGUCACCAAUCCACUGCCGUUCCUCUGAGAGCGAGGCGGCCCCUCCCACCGGCCCCUCCCACACAGCGGGACCCCUAGUGGACAACACAUGAUGCUACACACACACACACACACACACACACACACACACACACACACACACACACACACAGCCAAUGCCAUGACAUCAGGAAGAGAGUGGGACGGAUUGCUAGUUCCUGCAGACUCAUUUUUAAGUUGUGAGUUUGACAUCACAAAGGACAGCAGAAGGAAAUUUCCCGCGCUCUCCUCAGAAGCGCACGCGCAUUCUUGGCAGGAGAAUUCCCGCCGCGGGCCAUUUGGAAACCGUUGGCGAUAUUAGGCGGGAAUAAUUGAGACUCUGAUUGCUCCUUCACACCAGUAAAUGAGAUUAUGUUCUGUUGAUCGCUCAUUAACAAACCUAAAGCAUGUUUAUGAAAAUCACUUCCUGCAUAUUCCAUAGAGUCAUAUCCCAUUACAUAAAUCAUACAAUAAAACACCAAUCCAGUUUCUGCAGAAGAAGUCAUUGCAACAGGCACCUUAUAAUUAUAAUAAUCUGUUGUUAUUUCAACUUAAGGGCCAUCUGUCACACGCUGUGGAUCUCCAGCACUCAUUAAUCAGUUUUAAACACUACAUUCAGGUUUCAAGGAGACUAGUAAGACUAACCGUGUCUGUGUGACUCAUGAACAUUCAGCUAGAAGCGGUUUACAGUUAACACACUUUACCUUCAUGCUGAUUAUUAACUGAACUGAUUAAAAGUCAAGGAUGUCAUCUCUGCAGCACUAGUCAGGGUUGUUUUCUAUGGAAGCCCGUUUCCGCCACUGAAUAAAAAAUAAAAAAGGUUAUUGCUACUUUUUAUCUCACAA